UGAAGGUUUUCGGAUCGUAAAGCUCUGUUGUUAGGGAAGAACAAGUGCGAGAGUAACUGCUCGCACCUUGACGGUACCUAACCAGAAAGCCACGGCUAACUACGUGCCAGCAGCCGCGGUAAUACGUAGGUGGCAAGCGUUGUCCGGAAUUAUUGGGCGUAAAGGGCUCGCAGGCGGUUUCUUAAGUCUGAUGUGAAAGCCCCCGGCUCAACCGGGGAGGGUCAUUGGAAACUGGGAAACUUGAGUGCAGAAGAGGAGAGUGGAAUUCCACGUGUAGCGGUGAAAUGCGUAGAGAUGUGGAGGAACACCAGUGGCGAAGGCGACUCUCUGGUCUGUAACUGACGCUGAGGAGCGAAAGCGUGGGGAGCGAACAGGAUUAGAUACCCUGGUAGUCCACGCCGUAAACGAUGAGUGCUAAGUGUUAGGGGGUUUCCGCCCCUUAGUGCUGCAGCUAACGCAUUAAGCACUCCGCCUGGGGAGUACGGUCGCAAGACUGAAACUCAAAGGAAUUGACGGGGGCCCGCACAAGCGGUGGAGCAUGUGGUUUAAUUCGAAGCAACGCGAAGAACCUUACCAGGUCUUGACAUCCUCUGACAACCCUAGAGAUAGGGCUUUCCCUUCGGGGACAGAGUGACAGGUGGUGCAUGGUUGUCGUCAGCUCGUGUCGUGAGAUGUUGGGUUAAGUCCCGCAACGAGCGCAACCCUUGAUCUUAGUUGCCAGCAUUCAGUUGGGCACUCUAAGGUGACUGCCGGUGACAAACCGGAGGAAGGUGGGGAUGACGUCAAAUCAUCAUGCCCCUUAUGACCUGGGCUACACACGUGCUACAAUGGACAGAACAAAGGGCUGCAAGACCGCAAGGUUUAGCCAAUCCCAUAAAUCUGUUCUCAGUUCGGAUCGCAGUCUGCAACUCGACUGCGUGAAGCUGGAAUCGCUAGUAAUCGC
rnacentral:rRNA from 1 species